CGCAAGGCUCGUCGUCUGUGAGUGAUCCUGUACUCGAGGAGUUAAUGACAUUGAAGUUUUGGAUGUUAAAGGUUGCCCCAUAAGACUGUGUUGUUAACAGCCUUGCAGUUGAAACAUUGAAUUCCGUGUUUACAGUGGAAGUUGUGUGGUGGGUGGGGACCAUGGUUUUGAGCAUCUUUCCUAAUUUGACAUCUCCAAGGCGUUGUCUUAAAACCACUGACUGGAGUAACCCUCUCUGGUGCGCGGCGCUAGGUAAAAUGGAUCAUCAUCGUUUGAAAAUCCAUCUGGUCGCUUUGCUGAAUAAGCCUUGUAUAUGGCAAUUGGGUCACGAGGAGAAUUUACCCCAAACAUCUUGGGGUUGACCUUCCUGUAGUCGCCUAGAUUCUCACCAGUGCGUGUUUUUGUCUGCCUCUCAUGAAACUCUAAGAAUUCAUCACCCUCGGCAGUCGUUCGCAGCUUCACAUCUCCCCAUUUAAAUAAAAGGGAACAUGGAGUGUGUGGACCAAGGACAGCAGUUUCCCACAUCUGGUCUAUGUCCUCAUCAGUUAGAGGUUCAGCUUCCCUUGGGCGGUUGCCGUGGCACUGUAUAGAGCAAUGUUCAACUGUUCGAUUAUGUCAAGGUUUCACGAGUCAACGCAAAGUCUGUUCCGUUACCGGACAUAAUGCUGUGUGGAAAAAGAUGCCGACGGAAGUACCGAUCCAACAAACUUAAAAAGCCUCUUAAUGAACUUGGUUCAUAGUCCGACCCAUCCGGUUUAGUUAGAGACAGGAUGAAUCUUGCCACAUAGUGGUCUAACUGAUCAACGGGAAUUUCAUGUAUUUGCUUUGUUUCGCCUUGUUGUGCAAGAUAUCUGCGAAAUUUGUUGAUAUCAGCAUAUGUUUUUUGCUGUGUUUUUAUUUUCUUGGUCAGUGAUAAAUUUAUUGACAUGUUCAUUGUUAACAUCCUUAAACUCAUUGCUUUUUGAAGUUUCUUGCCUGAUGGAAUCCUUAUUUUGAUCAUUUAUGGGAAUGUUCUCAGACACUAGAUUGUCAGUCAUGUCAGUAGCAGGUCGUUCCAGUUCAUUGUCAAAAUCAAACAACACUCUGGCAUCAAACCCAAACUUAGCCUGAAAGUCUUCAUAUGAAAGUUCAACAACAUCUUGUGUGUUUGCAAUUUGCUCAUUAACUUCAGUUUCAAAGUAUUAAAUUAAAAUUUGGAUAUUCAAUA